rnacentral:lncRNA from 1 species
UAGGCACCAGCACUUAAAGUUACCCCGUUCUCUGCUUCAGUAGGCAGUAGGAGCUAGAGGAUGGGCUGGAAGAAGAAGCAGUGGUUAGGAGGAUGUAGGAAGCUGGCAUGUUAGACCCUUGGGAGCAGAGUGAGAAAAUGCUGAGAAACAGUGGACACCCUCUUCCCAAGUAGUGCUACAUCAGUUCCCAGAGGGAUAGAUUUAUUAUCUUGCCAAUGAUAUAUCUUUUGUGAAGGUUUAUUAAUGAAAUUCUGUAUUCAGCUCCGAGUCCAUUGCAAGAUAUCUUCUUUCUCACAUGGAUGCAACAAUGUAAUUGGCUCUCAAUAUUAUUGUUUGGUAAAUACUGUAGGACAGGAGCCCUCAGGAGCUAUGGGAUUCUUUGAACAUGGUGCCACUGUGAAGAUGGGAAGGUGAACUCUGUUUUCAUAAACUAGGAGGUCAAAUAUGCUCAUGUCUCUGUGCACAAAGUCUGUGUAGUUCCAGCAUUGGGACAGUCAGCUUUAUUCUAGACAGCAUCACUCCUUAGAGCGGGCAGGUUGUCAGGGCUUUUCCCUUAAACUUAUUUCAGGCUGCUGAUAGGGCUGUUUACUUUGAAUGGAUUGCACCCUUGGAUUUAGAAUCUAAUUGUGGAGGAAAAGACUUGAGAAGAAUCCAAGAAUCUGCGACCUGGUUCUGUAUUCUGCUGACAGGAGGAACCUUUAGAGGUCUUCCGUAAUUAUACUCAUAGAGGGCUUGAAAGUGACACACAAAUAUUAACAGAACUCCUGCAGUGUGAAGUUUGGGUAGUUUUACUGAAAACACAGUUCUAUUUGGAAAUAUUUGCAGUUGUGAAUGAGAAUUAUGGUUCUCGGUACCAGGAAGCUUUUUCCUUUCUCAGGCCCACCCACAGACUCAUCUCAGUCUUUAUCCUCCGCACACAGGAUCUGUGGACCUGUGGAGUGGGAAAGGAUCCGUGUACCUCUUUCCAGAUCUAAACUCUCAACACCUGCAUGCUCUGCCAAGUGUUUUCCUUGUGCAUUCCUCAGGAGCUGUGGAGGAUUCCAUUAAUAUUUUCAAAGAAAGAGAAUUGAAAAUCUGGGUCCUUGAAGACAUAGCAGCAUAAUGGCCGGUGAUGAACUCUCAAAAGAGCAAGAAAUGAAUGAGUUCUGUUAGGCCAAUGUCCCUAACUAGUCCAUUACAUCAGCAAGUACCAAUGCAGCAAUGGUUCCUGAAGUUUGAGCCUCUGAUGUAGUCCAGGGAAAGGAAAUUCAGAUAAAGAAGCCAAGACAUCCAUGCAUGGUACAGCCUUCUCCACAUGCCAUUCAGAAAUGGACUGUGGGAGACUUGCAGAGCUCUGCUUGGGAUCUCCUUCAUCCUACUCAUGCAUGGUACGUAGGAAAAUGGCUUUCCAAAUUUAGCAACUGGGACAUUCAUUGAAAGGCCACACCAGUUUCUGCUUAUUUUCUUUGUCUUUCUGUACUCAUUUAUAAUAUUUUAAAUGUUUUCAAUAUUUUAGAUGUAUCUGCCAUGACAUCCUACAGACAAUUUUAUUAUAAUAUAUGUUUUGCUAUGUUUCAGUGUUUUUAUGUUUGAUGAAAAAAAUAUAUAUAAACAAAAUUGAUUACAUUUAAAUCACAAAGAAGAGACACAUAGAAAGCUGAUGACAUGAAUAGACACUAUUUUUUCCAAUCAAAAUACUCAUGAAACAAGGUACUUUUUUCAAACAGGAAUUUAAAUUCCUAAUUUUAAUUCCUCAAGAAAGGAAUCAUUUUUGUGUAAAUGUUUUGCAGUAUGUAACAUCAGCAUUCUUAUAAAAGCUGGAAGAAUCUCUAGCUAAGAGAUAUAGGAAUUUGGCAAAAUGUCCAUUUGGUUCAUAAAUAUUUACUAAAGUAGAUUUCAUAAAAGAGGCACCAUAUGAAUUUGGGGUGAGAAGUAAUACAAAGUCUGGUUCAUAAUUUUAUUUCCUUUCUACUAGCAAAUUAAUUAGGUAUAUUUCACAUAUUAUACUUAUCAUACAUAGCACUUCAUGAAUUUUUAUCUGUGGUUCAGAAUAAUCAUGACAAAUAAUGAUAUAAGUCAAAGUCUAUAGAAGCCAAUUUCCCAAGUCAUCUCAUCACGCCACGGAAACACAGAUGCUCUGGUCUGUGUCUCAGUGACUGCCACAGAAGAUUGUGUGUGCUUAAGGUUGUAUCUUUAGGUUCUAUCUUCAGGAAGACUUUUUCAACAGUAAUGCCCUUUUAAUGAGAAAUCAAAAGCAGUCUUCAAGAAGCGUUUAUAGGUACCUGUGGGCUUUCUGGAGAAACUCUGGACAGUUCACCAGACACAGAAAUGAAUAAUUUAAGUGUUCUGAGCUCAAUCUUGCUUUAUACUGAGGUCCUCACUGCACAAUGAUUAUAAUGUCAUUAAAAAUAAUGAGUGUCUACAGAUGAGUGUUGCUCUGCUUACUUCAAUGGCUAUUUUUCUUAAAAGAACUAAUAGUAUUCAUGCAAUUGACAUCAUAAGACUCGGUGACUCUUGCUUACUAUCAUGUCUGUGCCUGUUGUGCUCAGUCAAGAUACCCUCACCAGAAUACAGGGGCAUCUGGAGCCAUGGUUCAUGAGUCAGCACCAAGGCCUAUGAGAAACCAGGGCAGACCCCUUGUUCAUACACUUCUCUGGUUAGUCUCAAUCUUAUCCCCAGUAUGAUAUAAACUAUUUCAUUAUUGUCACAUUGAUAUGGGUGUUCAGGAAAUAUUUUGGUAUUCUGAAUAUCAAGUUCCAAUCUUUGUGUGAUUUAUCAUUAAAUACUUUGACAAGA